CCUACGGGUGGCAGCAGUGAGGAAUAUUGGUCAAUGGACGAGAGUCUGAACCAGCCAAGUAGCGUGAAGGAUGACUGCCCUAUGGGUUGUAAACUUCUUUUAUAUGGGAAUAAAAUGUUCCACGUGUGGGAUUUUGUAUGUACCAUAUGAAUAAGGAUACGCUAACUCCGUGCCAGCAGCCGCGGUAAUACGGAGGAUCCGAGCGUUAUCCGGAUUUAUUUGGGUUAAAGGGAGCGUAGGUGGAUUGUUAAGUCAGUUGUGAAAGUUUGCGGCUUAAACGUAAAAUUGCAGUUGAAACUGGGAGUCUUGAGUACAGGAGAGGUGUGCGGAAUUCGUGGUGUAGCGGUGAAAUGCUUAGAUAUCACGAAGAACUCCGAUUGCGAAGGCAGUUCACUGGACUGCAACUGACACUGAGGCUCGAAAGUGUGGGUAUCAAACAGGAUUAGAUACCCCGGUAGUC
rnacentral:rRNA from 1 species